GACGAACGCUGGCGGCGUGCUUAACACAUGCAAGUCGAACGGAAAGGCCCCUUCGGGGGUACUCGAGUGGCGAACAGGUGAGUAACACGUGAGUAACCUGCCCUUGACUUCGGGAUAACUUCAGGAAACUGGGGCUAAUACCGGAUAGGAAUCCUUGCUGCAUGGUGGGGGUUGGAAAGCUUCGGCGGUUUUGGAUGGACUCGCGGCUUAUCAGCUUGUUGGUGGGGUAGUGGCUUACCAAGGCUUUGACGGGUAGCCGGCCUGAGAGGGCGACCGGCCACAUUGGGACUGGGAUACGGCCCAGACGCCUACGGGAGGCAGCAGUGGGGAAUACUGCACAAUGGGCGGAAGCCUGAUGCAGCAACGCCGCGUGCGGGAUGACGGCCUUCGGGUUGGAAACCGCUUUCAGCAGGGGCGAAGCUUGUGGUGACGGUACCUGCAGAAGAAGCACCGGCUAACUACGUG
rnacentral:rRNA from 1 species